UAGGGAAUCUUCCGCAAUGGACGAAAGUCUGACGGAGCAACGCCGCGUGAGUGAAGAAGGAUUUCGGUUCGUAAAACUCUGUUGUUAGGGAAGAAAAAAUGUAUAGUAACUAUAUACAAAAGAGACGGUACCUAACCAGAAAGCCACGGCUAACUACGUGCCAGCAGCCGCGGUAAUACGUAGGUGGCAAGCGUUGUCCGGAAUUAUUGGGCGUAAAGCGCGCGCAGGUGGUUUAGAAAGUCUGAUGUGAAAGCCCACGGCUCAACCGUGGAGGGUCAUUGGAAACUAAUAAACUUGAGUGCAGGAGAGAAAAGUGGAAUUCCAUGUGUAGCGGUGAAAUGCGUAGAGAUUAGGAGGAACACCGGUGGCGAAAGCGGCUUUUUGGCCUGCAACUGACACUGAGGCGCGAAAGCGUGGGGAGCAAACAGG
rnacentral:rRNA from 1 species